rnacentral:rRNA from 1 species
CGGGACACGUGGUAUCCUGUCUGAAUAUGGGGGGACCAUCCUCCAAGGCUAAAUACUCCUGACUGACCGAUAGUGAACCAGUACCGUGAGGGAAAGGCGAAAAGAACCCCGGCGAGGGGAGUGAAAAAGAACCUGAAACCGUGUACGUACAAGCAGUGGGAGCACGCUUAGGCGUGUGACUGCGUACCUUUUGUAUAAUGGGUCAGCGACUUAUAUUCUGUAGCAAGGUUAACCGAAUAGGGGAGCCGAAGGGAAACCGAGUCUUAACUGGGCGUUAAGUUGCAGGGUAUAGACCCGAAACCCGGUGAUCUAGCCAUGGGCAGGUUGAAGGUUGGGUAACACUAACUGGAGGACCGAACCGACUAAUGUUGAAAAAUUAGCGGAUGACUUGUGGCUGGGGGUGAAAGGCCAAUCAAACCGGGAGAUAGCUGGUUCUCCCCGAAAGCUAUUUAGGUAGCGCCUCGUGAAUUCAUCUCCGGGGGUAGAGCACUGUUUCGGCAAGGGGGUCAUCCCGACUUACCAACCCGAUGCAAACUGCGAAUACCGGAGAAUGUUAUCACGGGAGACACACGGCGGGUGCUAACGUCCGUCGUGAAGAGGGAAACAACCCAGACCGCCAGCUAAGGUCCCAAAGUCAUGGUUAAGUGGGAAACGAUGUGGGAAGGCCCAGACAGCCAGGAUGUUGGCUUAGAAGCAGCCAUCAUUUAAAGAAAGCGUAAUAGCUCACUGGUCGAGUCGGCCUGCGCGGAAGAUGUAACGGGGCUAAACCAUGCACCGAAGCUGCGGCAGCGACGCUGAUGCGUUGUUGGGUAGGGGAGCGUUCUGUAAGCCUGCGAAGGUGUGCUGUGAGGCAUGC